rnacentral:rRNA from 1 species
UGAACGCUGGCGGCGUGCCUAAUACAUGCAAGUCGAGCGAACAGAUGAGGAGCUUGCUCCUCUGACGUUAGCGGCGGACGGGUGAGUAACACGUGGAUAACCUACCUAUAAGACUGGGAUAACUUCGGGAAACCGGAGCCAAUACCGGAUAAUAUAUUGAACCGCAUGGUUCAAUAGUGAAAGACGGUUUUGCUGUCACUUAUAGAUGGAUCCGCGCCGCAUUAGCUAGUUGGUAAGGUAACGGCUUACCAAGGCAACGAUGCGUAGCCGACCUGAGAGGGUGAUCGGCCACACUGGAACUGAGACACGGUCCAGACUCCUACGGGAGGCAGCAGUAGGGAAUCUUCCGCAAUGGGCGAAAGCCUGACGGAGCAACGCCGCGUGAGUGAUGAAGGUCUUCGGAUCGUAAAACUCUGUUAUUAGGGAAGAACAAAUGUGUAAGUAACUAUGCACGUCUUGACGGUACCUAAUCAGAAAGCCACGGCUAACUACGUG